rnacentral:lncRNA from 1 species
UCUCACUCAACAAUUCUGCAUCCUCACAAUUCACGCUCACUUCCCCCACUCUUCGAAGAUACGCUCUUUUUCUCACCAUACACAUCUCUCUGAACAAACACACAAAAACACACGAACUCACAGUCCAAAUAGCUAAAACAAAGGUUUUUGAAUUGAAAUUGAAGCUCAGAUCUGAAAUUUGGAAAAAUAUCAAAAAACAAAGAGAGAAAACAGCGUAAAAGAGGGAUUUCUGUAGCUGUGGAAUUGCAGUUUUAUUUGCUCUCAUCUUCUGGGUUCUAAGAGGUGAAAAUCCUCGCGGUUUACUGUUGGCUGAGCUCUGCCGCAUUCUCUUCCCCCACUGUUCUGUUGAAGUCAGUCAUCUUUUUUCUUUGGCAAUCAAGGUACUGUUUUCUCCAAUGUAGAUAUGCUAUUUUAAAUGAGAUUUAUGUUGACAUUAUUAGUGAUGCUUUAUUGUUUAAAGUUCAUAUCAAGCUUUCCCGUGUUUAAACCUUUUUUUUCAGAAUUUAGACUCUCAAUGCGAUUUUGCCUAAAACAGUCUAUGAUUCUCCUGUAGCUUAUCUGUGAACAUUGAGUCUAUUUGCUUUCCUCACUUCGUCUCGAUUUCUGCUUGAAGUUGUCUUUGUUCAUUUUGCCGUCAAUGAUUUGUUCCUACUUAUUUUUAAAUUUGGAAUCUGUUAAGACUUCUACCUUCAAGGUUGUUGAGGGGUUAGUUGAAUUGACUUUUAUUUGAGCAUGGAGAUUGAAUUCGUGUUAAGUAUUCUGUUUCGAGGUGAAAUUCGUGAUGCAUUAGCUACUGUGCUUCAGCUAGUUGCUCAGUUGAUUCCAUGUAUUGGAAACAAUAGAGUUGUUAUCAUCAUUCGCAUUUUUCGCAAGUUUUUCUUGUUUGUUCUUUGGACCGAGCUUACGAUAGAUGGAUUGAUAUCUUUUCUGCUGUUGGUUUGGUUAGUGUCAUUUGAAUUUGAUGAAUCAAUGUCCUUAAGUAUGUCGACAUCCUAGCAGACUCUUUCACCGUUGAUAUACCCAUUAACUUGCAUUUAUCUUUGCCUAACAUUGAAGUUCCAGUUUCAUAUUUUAAAGUUGGCGCACCCCUUAUGAGUCUGUUGAAGUUUCAUUAAUUUCAAAUAGCAAUUGUUUCGAUUUUAGUCACUUAGCAGGUUUAUUGUUGUCUUCUUAGAGUUUAAAAUGUUUUUUUCCGUGUCUCAUCCUCUUACAGUCGCAUUAGUAAAAGAUAUAGGCAUAAAUUGUUGGGUUGUAACAUUAAUUUUUUUGAAGUAUCAUUUUGAAUAGAUUCAUAAUAGUUAAAAUCAUACAUUUUUUCCACAAUAAUUCCAUACCAUAAUUCAUGACCCCACAAGUUAUCUCAAAACCUUAGGAAAUUAAUUUAACUCAUGAACAUCGUAGAAUGCUUUAGGCGCGUUCUAAUCUCUUAUCGUGAUUGUGUACACGUGCGCGUGACAUAAUUAUGAUUUUCAAAAUAAAUCAAAGUACGCAUUCGCGCGACUUUGGCCAAACAACCUUAAUAUUUAAUAUGGUGUUAUUAAUUGUGUACACGUACACGUGACAUAAUUUUUAGCACACCAAAUAAACGAAUUCACACACGCGUGAUUCGUUUCAAAAGAUAAUUCCAUAACGCCAUAAUUAAAAGCGGUAAAAGGUAAAACGCACAUAGGUUUUUAAAAAUACGUAUUUAAAUAAUUAAUUAAGCUAGGUAUGAUUAAAAGCGACCGUGCUAGAACCACGGAACUCGGGAGUGCCUCACAUCUUCUCCGGGGUUAACAGAACUCCUUACCCGGUCUUCUGUAUUUCACGGACUUUAAAACAGUCAAUUUCCUUGAUUUGGGAUUUAAAAAUAAACCUAUGACUUGGGACACCAUAAAAAUUAUUUCAAGUGGCGACUCUAACUAAAUAAAUAAUCCCAUUUCGAUUAAUGUCACUUUAAUUGAAAAAACUCCCUAUUCCUCGGGAAAAUGAGGUGUGACAAUAGUGAGCCGUAACUUGUGAUAGCAAGUUAAAAAUUUAUUUGUAAUAUAUUAUCAAUAAUAUGCUUAGAUAUAAUUAUUAAUUACCUUACAAUUAAAUUGAUUAUGUAAAUAAUUGAUGAGUGUUGUAUAUUGUCUUCAUCUUAAAUUCGGUGAGAAAUCAUGAACAAUUUACUAUGUUUCUGUCAUAGCAAUAGAAACAGGAUCAACAUAUAUAAUUAACUAAUAUGUAUUUUUUUAAUUGACAUGUACUAAGUAAUGAGUGUUCAAUUCAAAAGAAAGUUAUGAAAAAUGGUUUUAUUAGAGAUUCCCAAAAAGAUAGAAAAGUCGCUCGCUCAAAGAAAACUUUUUAGUAGUACUUUAUAUUGAUUAAAAUGGAACAAAAAUAUCAACAUAAAAAAGACUGUCUUCUUUCAUUUCAUUGACCCUAUUUGUUUCUUUAAAAUGAACUUGAAAAUAACUAUUGAAAUAUAUUUAAAAAAUAAAUCAAUUAAAUCUUCAAGGCUUGUGUAUUCUUGCUAAAAACGAAAAUAAAGUGAUAAAAUUAUAAAACUGAAACAAAUUUUAAGUUGAAGGACUUCUAUAAGAUAAUUUAUUUCUUUAUUGAGUAAUCAAUAUUCAUCAUUUUAAAAAAACAUAUACAUUUUAUUUUAUUUCUCAAACACAAUUUCUCAUAAACUAGCAUUUAUGAUUUUUUAAAAAUAUUUACUCAAUGAGACAAGGUACACGCGCACGAAAGCCCUUAGUGAAAUGUUGUUCGCGUUUUUUACUCUUUAAAAAUAGAUUCCAUACUAGAUAAAACAGUUAUUUAAUUAUUUUUCUAAUAUUUAAAAGCUCAAAAUCAACUAAAUUUUAUUUUUAAUUUUUUUCUUAUUUAAACUACAUAGAAGGUCCUAAUAUUUAGGACUUCAAAUUCAAUUAAAAUUUACUUUACUCCAAUUCUUUCCUUAAACCAAUAUUAUAUCCUUGUGAACUUUAAACAUGCUUUUGGAGUUUAAUGCGUAUUCUUAGCCUCUGCUGCAUAUAAUUGUUAGUAUCCUUUUCUUUUACAAGUACUUUCAAUAAUCGAUUGCCUAAAAGACAUCACCAAUGCAUGUUAAUUUUUUUCCUUUUUAUUUUUAAAGAGUUUUGAUUUAUCUUUAGGUAUAACUUUAGAAGUCAUAAUUAUUAGUGGUAAUGUUAAUUUUAAAAAUAAUUUGAUCUACAUUCAUACUAUUUAAAAUUGUAACUAUAACUGAUAUUUAAACUUUAAAUAAACAAAUAUACUUGGAACUUUGAAAUAACUAUAAAUAUGAAAAAUUGUCCUCAGUGAACUUGAUUUUGAAAUUUCAAAAUUGUUAGUGGCAGAGUUUAUUCGGAAUGAGUUUAAGGUAGUGUUAACUUUUAUUUGGUCUUGGAUGAACAAGUAUAGAAGAAAUUAAGACUUAGACCAAUAAGAAUCUAGCCAAUGUUUUUGCAUAAGAAGAGGUGUACUUAUCAUAUUUAUAAUUUUGAUGACCUUUAAAUGAACAAAUAAGAAUUCUAUAUACUUAAGUUACAAAGAACAAAUUUCACAUGUUAAAAAUAGACAUAUAAAUAUUUAAAUAAAAAAAAUUAAUUUUUAUAGAAAGGAGCAGAACACGUAUUUAAAUUUUUAAUAUCUUUUGUUAGCUUAACGUCAUUUUUCUGCAUGAAAUAUUUAUUUUAGAAUCGUAAUAAAAUAAAAUUAGAUUUUAUUUUUGUAUUGUGCAAAAAAAUAGAAAACUGAUUUAUUUGUUACACCAUGAUUAGCAUAAAUUUUUUAUACUCUAUUUAUGCCAACUGGAAGCCUGUGCGCUUAGUUUCAUUAAAAAACAUGUUCGUCCAAAAUUAACAAUUAAUUAAGUACUAACUAAUUUAUUAUUUUCUAGUAUUAUAAUAUUAUGAAUAUAACAUUUAUAAAAGAGAUGUUGCCUGAGAUAUAACAACAUAAUAUAUUAAAUAUCUUAUAUAAUAAUGAUAAUAAAAUCUCUUAAACUCCAAAUACUAUAUAACUAAUUCAACUAUAUUCACCAUCUUUAUUUAUUUUGAAGAUAUUGAAUUCAGCUGUUGUAUUAAUGUAAUGAUAUUCAUUUUGAUCAUUUGAAGAAAUAUCUUUAGUUUAACAUCAAUUGCUAUUUUUCAAUAAUUUAUUCUUUUUGCACGUUUUUUCCCAAUAUUUUGAACUUCUAUUUUGCAAUUCUUGGGUUUAGUCUAACAUUAAUUUUGACAUUUUUUCAACUUGAAAACACUAUUAGAUGUCAUAAAAAGUAAAAGUAGAAAAGAAAAAAAAUGUUUAACUAAUUGGGAAAAAGUACAAAAUUAGACCACGGGUUACGUGGUGAAGCAAAUGUCUACGUAUUUGGCCCCCGUUUGGCCAUAGAUUUUGCCAAAUUUUUUCCAAUUUUUUUUAGCAAAUACUUAAUUAUUUAUAGAUUUUAUCCAUAUUUUGGCAAAUUUUCAAAUCCCAAAACCAGCUCAAGAGCUAUUUUUGGCCCAAAAUUUUACCGUUUGAUUUUUAAAAAAAUUUCAAAAAUUGUCCUAAAAUAUCUACCUUCGCCAAAGUUAUUGUGCCAAUCUGUGGCAAUAUAUCGCAAAGAUAAAAUUUGAAAGUAAUUUGCUAAAAUCUGCUAAUGUUUGCAUAAAUUUUCUUCAGAUUUGUUUCGCUUGUUUUGUAUGAAUUUUCUUCAGAGUUGGGUAUUUUUGAUAGUUUUUAAAAACUAUGGGUAUAAGUCAUAUUUAAAAAAAAAAAAAAAGAAGUGAAAUAUGUUUUGAAAAAUUAUGUCCAAACAGAUUAUCAUCUUCAAACCAAACUUCACCCAAAUCAGAUUUUUUAAAACAAAUUUGAAAAUGUAUGGCUAAACGCCAACUUGGAAAAUAUUAUAAUUAGAAAAACAAAAAACCAACAUAUUCGCGCUUAAACCCCAAGCUCUGUCUGUAUUCGAAAGGGUUAAGGUUUUCCCUCGAAGCUCAGGGUCAUUUCUUCAAUCUAAAAUUAAGAUUUUGCUCGGCGUGCCGUAUCAAAGUUUAAGGUACCCAUUUGAUAAGUGUUUAUUUUUAUCUUCCAUUACCGAAAUCUCCCGCCUCCUAAUUCCAUUGGCUUCGUUUCUGAAAGUUUCUCAAAGGUUCAAUCUUUUUAAUUGUGUUUCCCAAUCUUGGAUAAUUGGGCUAAAGCUUUAUAUUAGUUGGAGUAGUUGCUUUAUGGGAAUUUGCUACAGCAUAAUGUUGUUUCAGAUUUCUGAAUAUGAAAAGAACAAAAGAAGUAGAUCGAAUUCUUUUGUAUUUUUCUAGGUUUGACAUUGUUUUACUUAUUGUAAUGUAUAGUAAUGUUACUUUAGAUACAAUAUGUGUUUUGAUUGUUACUUAAAAUUCUCGUAUUGUUCCAUAGUUACGUAACAAUGAAAUGUUCCAUUUUAUGCAAUGACCUAUUAGGUGUGGUCGUGUCGUUACCCUAUUUUUUAUUCUCAUUUUGUCCUUAAUAUUAUUGAAUAAUUAUAUUUUACCCGUUACACUACCCUUUUUUAUAAUAUCUCUACCUUGUACUCUACUUUUGUUUUGUAAUAUUGUUAACUUAUUUUUCAAAUUGUUGGUACGUGACAUUAUGAAAAGACGGGGAAUGAUACAAUCUAUCCAAAUGUUGUAUUAAUCAAAACAAUACAAUAUAAUACCAUACAUUAUGAAACAAUAUGUAACAACCAUCCAAACAAGUUGUGAGUGCACAUCGGCACAUCUAUGUGGCUAUUUGAAUUUUUCUGGUCUUCUUGCAUGUUUGUCCCUCCCACAUGCUUCUCUCUGUCCUUUGCCAUCUCUUUGAUUCACUUCUCAGCUAUGUUGCGCAGGCUCUACCGCCGCACCCGUGUCGGAUUCUCCAAAAAUGCACUACUUUUGGAGGAUCCGACACGCACCAAGCCACCCACUUACAUUUUCGGAGAAUCCGAGCAACAUAGCUUCUCAGUUCAGAGUUCUUUUUCUCAACCUAAAUUUAAGCUUUUGCUCGCAGCGCAGCAUCAAGGUUUUCAAUGAUUCCAUUUUCUUGAUUAUGUUUUACAAUCUUGGAUAAUAAGGCUAAAUUUUGUAUUAGUUGGUUUUGGAAUUGGUUGUAUGUUGUUUCAUUGAUUCCUGAAUCUGAAAAGAACUCUUGUGUUUUACUCUAGGUUUGACACUGAGUCUAAAUUGGCACAUCUAUAUGACUGUUUAAACUUUUCAAGUUUUCUUUUUGCUCGUAUUGUUCUUGUUGGAAAAGGUAAAGUUUGCAUUUUGCAAUUAUUUACUUUGGUGGAAGUAUCAAUGACCUUAUCAUUGAUUUUUAAAGUCAUAUGGGAGUUAACUAUUUGAAGUCAGUGAGUAAAGAAAUAAAUGAAACAGUAGACUGUUUUAAAUGGAACAAUUAGAGAGUCCUUUUGAAAUUUAUGCUUAUAUUUGAAGUGAUGCAUUUUACCAAUCAAAUGAUGUUUGGGGCCAAGCUGAAACUACUUCUAGUGGUUUGGGUAUAAACUAAACAUAUCCACAAUUUUCAACUGCUUUAAGCCUCAGAAUCGCACUAUCCCUCCUUUGCACUAACGCACUACUUUUCAUCUCUUUCCGCAAUGAACACCUAUUGUUCGAAACCUUUUUUUCCCCAAUGAUUUUCAAUGGCAAAACAAGAGUUGUGCUGAACUGGAUUAUAAUGCUCUGUUUGCUCUCAUUUCUCAAAAGGAAGUGUCGACGCUGAUAUGAUAACUCCUUUUACACAUAAAAACCCAUUGAUAUGAUAUUUCCUUCUGAUUUUACAAGUUAACAUUUUCCUUAUUCCUAUGUUAUAAUAGCUGAAAUUUGUGAUGGUAUACUAAUUUGUGCAGUAAGGAUAAGAUUUUAUUUAAUUAUGCCAAUAUGAGUUUCACAAAACAUAUUCUCAAGCUGGGGUUAAAAAAGAGAGUUGCGGCUGAUUAAAAAAAAGAUAAAGGAAGAGAGUUGUGGUAGAUUGAUAACUAGUAAAAUUAUAGUCUCAAGUAUGAUGAACUCCUUUGAAUAUGGAUACAGAAGCUUCAUAUAUUCAAGCCUAACUAGUUUACGAAUGAGGGGCAGUUGGUAGAUCAAUUGAUUGAUUUAGAUAAAUAAUUGCAAAGAACCUGAGUUUUAUAUUGGGAGCAUUGCUUGCUUGGAUCUGCACUUUCUUCCACUUCGAUUCUAUCUGUGAUUACUUUGUUUCCUCCAGUUUAUGUUCCUUUGGCACUCUUUCAUUCUUUCAAAUAUUUGUGUACGUGAACCAAAGCUAGAAACAGUGACUUUGACUAGUUGAACAUUCGUUGUUGUUUAUGCUUUUGGUCUUUUAAGACAUUGGACAGCUCUUAUCUCACUUCUUAUGAUGGUUUCUCUGUCUUUUUUGAAUCCAUAAACUUCAUUAUUUUCGAAUUUUGGAAAUUUGCAAUUAUUUUGAAAUGAUCCUCAUUUGUUUAAACAGUCAAUGGAACACGGUUCAUUUGAAGAUCCAUCAAAAGCAACAUUCUCGUUCACAGAUGAGGACCAUACGCUGGCAAAUGCUGUCCGAUUCACUCUAAAUCAAGAGUUAGUAAUUCAUCUCUUCCUUUUUCCUUUCUUUUUCAUUGUGCAGUAAUCACCGCAAGUACUAUUAUAUUUUGUAUUUUUAUUUACUGAUAUAAAUAAUACUAUUGAAUUAUGCUUGAAGUUUAAUACUUCACUGGUAAAAUAGAUGGCCUCUGUAUCUCAUUUUAUUACAUACCACUGAUCUUUGUUAAUCUUGUCCCUUCCCUAUUUUCUAAACAGUGGUUUUUGCGACAAGCUUCGGACAUUGAUUAACUGAUAUUUAAUUCUUGCAGUCCCAGAGUAACAUUCUGUGGUUACAGCAUUCCACAUCCCUCUGAUGCUCGUGUAAACAUAAGAGUUCAGACUACUGGUAAAGCUUAAAUAUUUCUCAAAUGUAUCCUUAUCAACAGUUUCUCUAACUUGUAAAAAAGAAAAGCGUAAAUAUCUAAGUUGCUCGGACAGGGGUGCAGGUGUCCGACACGGGUGCGGAUCUUUCAAGAUGUAAAUUUUAAGAUUCGGGGAUACGGAUCCUAGUACGGGUGCGGGGAUCUGGCUAAAAAUAAUUAAAAAAUAUAUAAAUCUCUCUAAUUUAUGAGAAAUUUUGUGGAAUACUUACGUAUAGCUUGUAAAGUGUAGAUUUCCCUUUUAUUCUCAAGUUGUAGAUAAGUAAAAGAUUGAUUUCCUAGAUAAAAUAUGUUAUUUUCUUCAAAUUUACCCUAGUUUUAGUUCUGAUUUCGGUAAUCAAAUUGUAUCUCGUCUCGAAUUUUUCGAUCCGUCGUGGUCAAAGUACCCAAAAUUGUUUGACCAGAUCCGGUACGGAUCCCAUACCCACACCCAUACUAGUGUCGUGUCGACACGGGUGCGGCACCUAAACUGUCAUGUCGUAGCAACUUAGGUAAAUAUUUCUCUAACUUACACUUGACAGUUUUCUACCUUGUAAUGCACAGUUUUCUAACUUUUGGAUAGAGUUACCUGGUACCUAUUGCUAGGGGUGUUCAUGGUUCGGUUUGGAUUGGUUUUUCUCUAAAAAGAAACCAAACCAAGUAAGUCGGUUCUUCAAAUAUUAGAACCAAACCAAACCAAUUAAGUCGUUUUUUUAUUGAUUCGAUUUUUGUCGGUUUUUAGGUUUUUUCGGUUAUUUAUCGUUUUUUUCUUAAAUAUGAGACGUACACUGCCAAACACAUCUUCCGGCGAGUACAUUUUCACCGUAACACUAUCAAAUCAAUUGCUCUUUGAGUAAUCUAUCUUGUACCAAGAUAUAUUGAUAAUAAUUGAAUCAAAUACUGAUGAAUAAUUUAAUUACUCAAUUAAAAAUCGAUUAUUUUUAAAUGAAAUAAAUUUUUGUACUUAGCAAAAGCAAACUACCAAUCAAAUUAGAGUAUAAAAGCAAAGAAUUUGAUUAUUAUAAGAGCAAAGAACUAGACUAAAAAUACAAAUGACUAAUAUGUACCAUAAAAUUUUAGAAACUUUAUAUAAAUACACACACACACACACACAUAUAUAUAUAUAUAUAUAAUAAAUUUUAAAUAACUACUUAUAUAGUCAGUUUGGUUCGGUUUUUUCAGUUAUUUUUUGAUUAAAACCGAAACCAAACCUAAUUUAAUCGGUUUUAAAAUUCAAUGCCAAAACCAAACCAAACCUAAAAAGUAUUAGUUUUUUUGGUCGGUUUGGUUCGGUUUUCCGGAUUUUUAUGAACACAUACCUGUUGCUGGUGGGAGGUGGCAGAUAUCCCGUGUAAUUAGUUGAGGUGCGCGCAAGCUAGCCAGAAUACCAUGGUUAUCAAAAAAAAAAUUAAAUAUUUCUCUUGUGAUAGGAAUACAGAGGGUAAUCUUUUAGAGGUUGUCACUUCCCUCAUGUAUUUGUCACCAGGGCACCUGAUGUGUUUUUUUUCAAUUUUUUUCUUAUUCAUUCCUCGUUGACGUCGGUGUCACAUGAGUCUGGCCGACCCAAAGGGCACGAUAGUCCAAGACGAGUAUGGCCGUCAUUGUUUUUUUUUGCUUAUAUAUCAUUCAAAUUAACAUCCGUUUUCCAUACUAGAGGCAGUUUCAAAUACCUUGGGUCGGUUAUCCAAGGGGUAGGGGAGAUCGAUGAGGAUGUCACACACCGUAUUGGAGUAGGAUGGAUGAAGUGGAGGUUAGCAUCUGGAGUCCCGUGUGACAAGAGAGUGCCACCGAUACUUAAAGGUAAGUUUUAUAGGGCGGUGGUUAGACCGGCCAUGAUGUAUGGAGCUGAGUAUUGGUCUGUUAAGAACUCAUAUAUCCAGAAGAUGAAAGUAGCAUAUACGAGGAUGUUGAGGUGGAUGUGCGGGCACACUAGGAUGGAUAAUAUUAGGAAUGAUGAUAUUCAGGAGAAGGUGGGCGUGGCUCCCAUUGAUAACAAGAUGCGGAAAGCGAGGCUUAGAUGGUUCGGGCACGUUCAGAGGAGAAGCCCAGACGCUCCGGUAAGGAGGUGUGAGCGGCUGGCCUUGGAAGGCUCGAGAAGAGGUAGAUGGCAGCCUAAGAAGUAUUGGGGAGAGGUAAUCAGGCAGGACAUGGUGAGACUUCAGAUUUUCGAGGACAUGGCCCUUGAUAGGGAGCUGUGGAGGUCGAGUAUUAGGGUUGUAGGUUAGGAGGUAGUUGAGUCUUUCUUUAGUUCGUACAUUAGGGUUUUUGUCUGAGACAACUAUUGGCAAUGUUGUGUCUUACUACCCUUCCGUUUCAUAGAGCCGACUCUAUUUAAUGGUUACCGCUUUUGCUCUGCACCUAUUUUCUGGCAUUCAUGAUGUUAAUUUUUAUUUCUUAUGGUAUCUGUUGGUGGUAUUGAUAUUGUCUCUUUUCUUUUCUCUUCCUCUUCGUCUUCUUGAACCGAGGGUCUUUCGGAAACAACCUCUCUACUCCUCGGGGUAGGGGUAUGGUCUGCGUACAUACUACCCUUCCCAGACCUCACUAGUAGGAUUUUACUGGGUUGUUGUUGUUGCCAUACUAAUGGACUGAGCAUGGCCGUCAUUUUUUUUUUUUGGGCUUCUUACUUAUCAUUCAAAUUGACAUCCGUUUUCCAUACUAAUGUAACAUGCUUGAUAUUUGCUAAAACUUUGGUCAUAGACUUCUAAAUGGCUUGUUCGGGUUCAUUCUUGUUAAUCAAUAUUUUGUUGGUGUCACAUUUUGGCCAGUUUGUUUUAUUGGAUAAAUAUCUUCUUGUUAGAGAUCGCUUAACCUAUAUACAUCAUAUGAUACAACCGUCUGGAAAUCCAUUAAAACAAUUUGCUCUUCCACAUGUUUAUACACUUGCAUUCUGAGAAACGUUGUCGUUAUCUGUUUGAGUUUUUCUGCAACUUUUGGUGGUUUAUUUGGCAGGGGAUCCAGCAAGGGAGGUAUUGAACGAUUCGUGUCAGGAUCUAAUGCUUAUCUGCCAGCACGUUAGAGGCACAUUUGAUCAGGCUAUUUCAAAGUUUAAAACCGAAAAAGGUCUGAGCCCUAUGGAUCUCAAGAAAUGAUUUUGACGUAACGUUUAUUAUACCUUUUUAUCCAUGUAAAAUUUUGUCACUUUUUGCAAACACAAGGAGACUUUUAAAUGUGAUUGCUCUAUUUAUUUUGUGCAUAUCUGCACAAAAAGUUGCUUUUUGCAGAAUCAUUUUAUCCCGUAAAGAUGUUACAUCAGAUUGUUAGCUAUAAUGCUUAUGCUUUUGUUGCGCACAGUCAAGUGUCAAUUGGGUGGUCUUCUUAUCUAUGGCUGUGCAAAUAUCAGCAAGUUGAGGUUCAGAUACAUAAAGAUUAUACCUUUUUAUAUGCAAAUAUUAGUCUGCACAUUGGUUGCGUUGGAUUACUACCACUACAAGCCUAUACUGUACAAAGCAAAAAGAUUCUGGUCAAGGAAGCUUGCGUAGUGUCUCAGAAAAAUUGGGGCCAUCCUUUCUUUGCCAGUGGUUAAACAAAUUAAUUUCACAUCGAAAGGUAUAUUUGAAAUUAGGAUCAAUUGGUUUUUUGGCUCUUUAUAAACUUGUUUUUAGUUUUAUGAUCCUAUUUUUUUUUUUACACAUUAGAGAUUUAUUUUUAUGUGUAAGAGAUCGAUCUGUCUUUUACAUAUAAGAUAUCUAAAAAUGUCAUUUUCUUAAAUUCAAAAUUGUAAAGGGGCAUGAUGUACAAAUAGCACUUGAGAACUAUCAUUCAUAUUCUAUGGACCGAAAAUCCCAAAAAUUUACACGGUUACUUGAAAAGUAAUUGCAAGUCACUUUAGUAAGUAGUUGGUUGGUAACUUGAAAUAAAUGAUAAAAAAAUAUAAUAGGUAAAAUAUGCAUAUAAUAUAUCAGGAAAACUAGGCCAACAAAAUCCCCACGUUAAUUUUCUGGGCUAAUAAUGCCUUCAUUCUAACAGCUGCCCACAUAAGCUUCUAAGAGGCAUUAAUUAGCUGACAUGACCAUCCACAAACGGAUCCAAUAAAGGCGAUUUGAGACUUGAGGGGAUGAUACGAUCGAGUAAGGGUUAACAACACAAAUUGAAGAUCAUCUGAAGUUAUAUAGGUAAUUUCUUCUUCCGUUUAAUGGGUCUCUGACUCGAAUAAAGGGAUCAGUCAAUUAUUUUUGUAAUUUUCUAGGGUUUUGUCAUGUACUAGUACUUUUGAUUCUGAAGCUUAGUGUAUAGUGUUUGCAUGUGGGUCUGAUACUCUUUUUGUUUGUUAUCUUUGUUGUUUCCUUAUGUGGUGUCAAUUUGUGCCCUAAGUCCGCAUAUUUUAUCAUGGUGUGAUAGGGUUGGGUUGUUGAAAUUGACUCUUAAAGACAUUAUUUUUUGCUUUCCAUUGUAUUAUAUGGAGUAAUUUAUUGUGGUAGGGUUGGGUUGUUGAAAUCGAGAGAAGCAUGUGCUUUAUCUCUUAAAGAGUGUGCUUUAUUCUUUUCACUAUAUUAUAUGUAAUAAUUUAUUGUAUGUUCAAUCUUUUAUUGUAAAAGUUCUUAAAUUAUUCAUGCGGUCCCUCUAUAUUUUCUUAUGUGUCUAUAUUAUAGAUAUUUCAAUAUGGGGGACCAUGAAGAGCCAAUUUCAGGUCAAUAUUAGUGUGAAUUAGGUACUGAUUGUGAAUCUGAUAGUGAUACAAGUUCAGAUUAUGGUUCAGAUGUUAGUGAAUAUGAUUUUGAAGAAUUAGAGUUACUUAGGAUGCAAAAGGGUAAAGAUGUUAAUGAUAAGCUUACUCACUACAAAGAACAUGAUAAGUCUAUGACAUUUAAGGACUUGGAUGAGGCCAGAAAAGUCAUGAACUCUAUUGCAAAUUCCAAACCACUAAAGCUUAGAAAAAAAUGAUAAAAUAAGAGUAAGGUAUAGAUGUGUAGUAGGCUUCCCUUUUGUAUGCCUCAUCUAUGAAGAUAAGAAGGGUCCUGGCUUUAAGAUAAAACAUUUAGACAAAACACAACUGUGAAAAUGUAUUUGAGAAUCCUAGAGCCAAAACAAAAAUUUUAGAUCAAUAUUUCAGGAGUAAGGUGCAAAAUAACCCCAAGUAUAAGAUAAAGGAUAUGAAACAAGAUUUGAAAAAUUAAUUUUCAUUGAAUGUACAUAACUCCACAUUGAAAAUGCUAAGAGGAUGGCACUUCAACAAUUGGGAAGCUUUUUAGAUGACAAUAAUAGAUUAGAAGCAUGUGCAAAUGAGAUUAGGGAGAGCAAUCCUAGUAGUGAUGUAGUUAUCAAUUUAUCAAAAGAUGCCAUUGCUGAAGGCAAACAAAGAUUUCUUAGAAUGUACAUAUGAUUAAAUACAAUGAAGUUAGGGUUCAAACGAGGUUUGAGACAAUUCAUUGGACUAGACAAAACUUUUUUAAAGGGUCAUUGCAAGGGGCAACUAUUGGUGGCUGUUGCAUAAGAUUGCAUGAAUCAUUUCUAUCCCUUGACCUGGGCUGUAGUUGACAAGGAAAACACCUUGACAUGGACAUGGUUUCUAGAGCUGCUGAAACACUCACUGAAUCUGAAAGAUGGAACCAACAUUACCUUUAUGUCUAUAUGCAAAAGGUACAAGUUAUGAUUUUGUUUAAUGGACUAUUCUAGUUAUUUUUAUCCUUAUCAUAUAGUUAAUUUUGUUUAAAUUUUCAUGUGCAGGGUCAGUUGGAAGCAGUAAGAACUGUCCUCCAUCUCUCAAAUCACAGGUUAUGUGUGAGGCAUAUUGAAUCCAACUAGAGUAAGAGGAUUAGAAUUUUAGGAGAGAUGAAAAAAUACUUAUGGUGGUCUGCUUGGAGCACUUAUGAGUGUUGAUACCCAAUUUUUCCCUCAUAUUUUAAAUAUAUAUAUACUUUCAAAAUAGUGCAUAUUCAUCAUCAUUUGAUUUAUAAGCAUACACAAGUAUUUUCAUAAUUUUUCAUGAUUUUUAAAGACUUUAAACCAAUUUAUUUUUGCAUUUUUAUUGUAUAAAUAUCCAAUAAUUAUCCUCCAAAUUAUUUUAUGAUGAUUUAAUCAUCUAAACUUAUCAUUUAUACCAGCAUGAGGUUUUAAAUAUUUUUUCAGUGCAUUUUUUAUAAUUACAUUUGCAUUUUAGGGCUAAUUGCAUAUUUUUGCAAUAAUAGCCCAUAUUCAUGUAUAAUUACAUUAUUUAUGCAAAAAAUAAAUUUUUAUAUUUUAUAAUAUUAAGUUAUUAUUUUGAAUCAUUUUAGUACACAAAUAAUAUUUUUUGUUAUUCAUUAAUUACUUUUAUAAAUUACUUUUGCUAAAAUGUUGGGUAUUUAAAAACUAGCCCCACUUUUAACCUAUUUUCGGACCAAAUAAUGGCCCAAAACACCUAAUACACUAGCCCAAAUCAAUGAUCAACUAAUCCUAACCCGGUCGGUACCCGUUUCACACGACCAACCCCACUCACUUUUUAAUCAUGGCCGUUGAUCUUGAGAGACCAACGGCCCUUAUUAUUUUCCUCCUUUUAAUUACCCCCUUCAGCCCCUAACCCUAAUCACUCCCUUUUGCCCACUGCCCUAAUAUUCUCUCAUCUCCCUUCUCCCUCUCUGAAGAACCCUAAACAUUCCACCCUAAAUCUUCUCCUAAUCCCACCUAAUAUGGGAUUCCAUGGCUAUUACUUACCAUACUUGGCCUCCUUCUGAUACUGGCUACUCUCCUAUAGUGCUUGCCUAAACAUGGCAAGCAGAUCUCAUCAAAAUUGAACCAAAAUCGGUUCAAAUCCCUGAUUUUUGAAUGUUAUUCCAUCCAUGUUCAUCAUAUGCCGUGUUAGUCCGAUUUUGUUUAUAUUCUAUUGACUCUUACUUACCCUAAAACUAGGAUUUACAGAAUCGAACCAAAAUUGGUUCAAAUCUCUGAUUUUAAGCGAUGUUUCCAUCUAUAUUCAUCUUAUUCUGUGCAACGUUUGAUUUUUUAUUUUUAGAUUCUGCUAAAUUUUUAUACUUUCCCUAAAAUUAGGGUUUUGAAAUUUCUCUCUUUUCCUUACUGAUUUCGAUUGCAUGUGGUGUUAUUUCCUUUCUAGUGUUUUAUUGAUGGUUUUUCAUGUUUAUGUGUUCGAUUUCUACACUAUAUAAACCCUUCCCCUUCCCCCUUUGAAACAGACUUCAAUCACCAUUUUCCCACUAAAACAACUGAGGUUUUUACUCUGUAUUUGUUUAUUACUCUAUUCUGUUUGAAUCUUGGCCGGCUGAAAGCCAAGGCCACCGGAUUUCUAUUCUUCCCGACCUUUCUUGGGUGUGAGCACUGUCCUGGGUUCUCGAAACCCUUGGAACUUGACACAUUCGAGAUUCUGGGUCCCUACUGCUGUUCUUUUCUUGUUUGUUGAACAAUCACUGGUUAGUUUCUAACUUUCGCAAUGUUUAUCAUGUUCUAAUUAGCAUGUUCUUUGAAUUGCAUGACCUAAUAUGUUCUCCUGACUCUUUUCCUGUUUAGUUCUGCCUAUAAUUGCUAGCUUAAUAAUGUCUUUGUACUUAACUUAGUUAAUUCAGACAGAAUAAAGCAUGCUUAGUGUAGUGUUAUUCUUAUUACAUGGUUUAAUCCAUGUUUCUUUGCCUAAUCACGAACUUGUUUAAGACCUUUACUCUAAGUGUAGUAUGCUCCUAUGGCUAUGGUUGCCACUCUAUGUGUUCUUGCCAUGUCCAAAUCUGCACCUCUAGCAACUUGUUAUCCAUUAAACUUGACUGAUACCCUGUAUGAUAUCUAAUCGUGUUUGUAUUAUACUGUGUAAUCCUGAGUUUGGGUAUAAUUUGAUCCUUUAAGUUCUAAACUGGUUGUAUUAAUUGGUUUUACUAGUCUAAUGUCCUUGCCUGUUAACUUUGCAAUCCCAGGCUCCUUGUUUCUUAUCAUAUGUAACUCUGCCCCAAUGUAUUAGUUUGCUUCUCGAGUUCAUGUUCAUUAUGUGAUUAUCUUAAAGUGUCUGUAAAUGCUUUUCCAAACCCAUUACUUUCUUACUAUUUUCAUUGAUUGUUUCCCUGUUAUGAGUCUCUAAUUCUUGGACGGCUGAAAGACAAUGUCUCCUAAAACUUCUCUAUUAACCUCCCUAGUGUGAGCACUGCUCGGGGUCCACUUUGAGACCCUUGUGAAAUCUGACACACUAGGGCCUAAGGUUCUUGGCCACUGCUCAAUUAUGUCCCUCUCUAUGCCUACUGAAUAAGCCAAUUGGCUUGUGUAAAUGACUGUUUUUCUGAAUCUUUUGAUCGACUAUGGCUGUUGGGUAUCAUCUAAGUUCUCUUAUGGUUUCUGGGCUGUGUUGAAACCUGUAUGGAUGCAAAACUGAAGGCCUUGCUGGGCUGGGUACACUUUGGGCCUGUCUUAGGCCCAUUAUAAUUAUUUGUAUCAUUUUUUUUAUUGGGCCUGUAAUAAUUCUGUAAUAACAAUUGGGGUAUUAGUAAAAAUUAGAAAAAUGGGUUUAUUCUAAUAUUUGCGUGAACGGGUAGAAAUCCUGCCUAUAGGUGUUUAAUUUACUCAACAUGUUCUGUUAGAUAACCUGCCUAUAGGACCUGAGUGUUUAAUUCGUUUAACACAUUCUUCUCAUAUGUGUUUAUUAGAUACCAUGCCUAUAGGAAAUAAAGUGUCAAUGACCAAUCUUUCAAUUUACAUAACUGCAGCAUUUUCAUUAGAUACUAUGACUAUAGGGCUAUGUUAGCUUAUGUUCUAUAAAAUAUGCAUUUAGAAAUCAUGCCAAUAUGGUUUUAAUUGGUUAAUUCACUAUUAUACUGCCCACCUAGGAGACAUGCCUAUAGGAGCUAAGUAUAAAAAAUCAAUUUCAAUCGUUAAUCGUUAGAAAUCCUGCCUGUAGGGUAAUACCACUCGCUUUUAAGUGUUAAUAUUGAACUUUCAACACUGUUUCAUUGCCACUAUUAGAAAACAUGCCUAUAGGAUCAAAUUGAGUAAUUCUAAAUAUCUCUCGUGUUUAUCAUUGCCAAAUACUGCAUAAGUCACCUAGAUAGCCUGUCUAUAGGUUUCAACCGUUUAUACUUAUAAUCAGUAGGCAACUAUGUAGUCGCUCAUAAAUUAUACUCUGCAUAACUGCCCACAUGAUCAAAAUCUAGAAUCACAUAGAAAUCAUAUCUAUAGGAUUUAAUGAUUUUAACUCAUCUUAAUUCUGUGACUGUCAAACGCCAAUUUGUGUGCGUGCAUUUGUUGUCUAAGUGCGGAGGCUAGCUUGAGCCAUUAUCUGCUUUUAUAUGAAGUCCAACUUUCUUUUGUAUGUCGCCUAGUUUUAUCAUUUUGAGCAACCUAAGUUAAGUCUAGGACCACCUAAAAUAGAGGUCCAAAUGCUUCCGGGACCAUAGGCAUGGGACGGGUAGUGCAUGCAUAAGGUACGACUUAGAAUCAAUUAGUGCGCCUUAGGUAACAACUUAAAGAUAGUAAUUGGGUAGCAGGAGAUGAUAGUCUGUGCCCGCUGAAUAAUAUGAGUAACACCCCAU